ACAGGCUGCUAGGCGCAGUUGGACCUGUUCUGCCUAGGCCUUAGCAAUUUCACCCCCAACAAGGGUAGAUCAGGCUCGGCCCUGGGGGGUUUUGUAACAUGGCACUUGCCUGGGGCUCACCAGGGCAAGGGAGCAAUGCAUUGAUAAGGCUGAAUGCAGUGUCUCACCAACUUCUUUAUUAAGCUGGUCUGGAGGCUGGCAGAGACCACUAUAGGAGGGGCCAUCCUUGUCCUGACAGGUAGCCCCAGCCUGUGAGUCCUAUCAAGAAAUCACAGCAAGCUCCUGUCAUGAAUGUCCUGGAUGGUAGAAGUUCUAGGCUCUCAAAAUUGGGUGGAGGGAAGUCAGGAGAACCCUCCUCUCUGAGUCACUCAGUGGUUUCCAGGUGGCUGAGAGCCACUUAGAUAAAAUACAAAUCCCUCUUAGCAAGCUGGAAAACAGAGACUGAAUAGAAUGCUCUCAGAUAUUAGUGGAGAUGGCAGUGGGGAUGUGAGUUUGGGCAGGUUCAUCUCCUCAGGACCUUCUCUUCCUUUUACAGAGCUGGGUCAGAACCCAACACCCCUCCCCGACCGCAUGCUAGGGAAUGGUCACUCACUGGAUCACACCAAAGUCAACUCCAGGGUCAGCAUGACGGUCUCCAACCAGGAAGGAAGGAUGUGCUGGUAACAGUUGCUGAGACAUGGAAGAGGCAUUCCAGACAUGCCACAGGCUGAGCUGAGCCUGUCAGUGUAGAAACAGCCCUGACCCGUGUGCUACCAUCCGGCGUUCCUUGAGCACCUGCUGCCCGUGCACUGGGGGUGCCUUGCAAGCAAAGUAGAGAAAAAAGAGCCCUGCUGUCCUGUGGGGGAAAAAAGUAACUAUGCCCUCUUCCUGGGGUGAAGCACUCUGUGUCCAGAGGCCAGGUGGCUGCUUGUCUCAACCUUUAUGUCCCCUCCUCCAGUAAGAUCACAGAGCCGAUCAAGACUCCAGACAGCCAAAAUACACUAUGCCAAAUUGCCACGUAGCCACUAUUCACCAUUGCCAGCUAAUAUGGGGGGCGGGGUUCGCAAAAUGUGUGCAGUCUCAGAAGGCCUUUGCAUGACAGGAAAACACCCAGUGAAGCAGACCCACAGAGAGAGAAAAUAGUUGGGGUUUGCCCCAAGGGUCUGGGAAAGAAUGACUGCUAACAGGCACAGGGAAUGACUGCUAAUGGGCACAGGGGUGCUUUGGAGAGCUAUUAGAGUGCUCUGGAAUUAGAUGAGAGUGGUGUUGUGCAACUGAAGAUUUACUAAAAACAAUCAGAUUUUUUUUCCCUCUCUUUCUAGAGAAGGAAUCACGGUCGGCUCUUACAUAUCUCAGUAUAUCUGUUGCAUGUUCAAGUGUCCUGGGGAAAUGUUGCUAGGGUGGUUGUCGUCAUUUACGCAUCAGCCUCGUUAAAAAACGUGCACCGAUGUGCAUCGUAAAAAGACCAGCAGGAAAUAUACCGGACGGACGCUAGCAUCAGUUUUGUGUGGGUAAAAGAAUCGUAGAACAUUUUAUGUGCAAACAGCCAGUGGGUAGGAUCCACCCAAAGUCCAUUGGUAAUGGUGACGUCUGAGGCCAAGCCCCUGGACCAGCCCCUUUCUGCCCGAGGCCAGCCCUGUGACUCACAGCAGAGGCAUCAGGCGACCAGGGGUCAGCUCCUCCCUGGGGAGGGAAUGCUGCAAGGCUGGCAGGGCAGGCCAUGCAGCAAGCAGGGUAGGUGUGGUGGGUACAGGCUGCCUGUGGGCUCCAGGAUAGCCAGCUACCUCGAGGCAGGUGGGCAGGAGAAGAGCAAUAAUUACCCCGCUGGGUGGAGCUUGGCACCCUCCUUCAUUCCCAAGCAGGGAGGUGACCCGUUCUGGUAGAUUGGCUGGCAGCAGCCUCAGCAAGGUUGCACGUGACUGGCCAGGUGGCAGUACAGACCUAGGAAGGAGAGCAUCAGGGCUUGCAGGAGGACCUAGGCCCACGCGUGCACUGGGCCUCUGGCAAGCCCUCCCAGGCUGCUGCUCCUAAGUCUCUGUAUCUGCUCCCUGUCCAUUCAGCUGUACCCAGAGGACAGCUCAGAACACUCCGGGGAACAGCAGGCCCUUUCCCCUCUGCUCCCUGCCCCCACUGGCCUCUUCCUUCUGCCUCUACACUGGCCUUUGACCUGGCCCUUAACCCUCUUGGCUUCAACUGCCUUUCCCUAUAGCCUCCCCAACAUGCCACACACACACACACACACACACACACACACACACACACACACACACACACACACGAGGCGUUAGAUACCCCAUGGACAAGUAUGUGGAUGGAUAUAGGAUGUGAGCUGGAGCCCUGCAGGUCACCCCUGUUGGCGGGAGGCACUUGUGGCCUUGUAAGGGAAGGUACGAAGGGUGGGAUCACUGUCACCAGGACCAUCUGAGUCACUUGGUUAUUCCUGGCCAUGGGAGUCACCUGAGGUUGGAAUGGAACUGGGAAUGGGAGGCAGAGAACCUGGGGUGUGCGUGGGGGAUGGUGGGGUUACUGGCUUGAAAGGAAGAGUACUGCAGACCCGUAGCAAAGGACUUCAACUUUGCAGGAAGCGGGAUGGUGUCAGAGGCUGGGGCAGGGCUUCCAGAAGGCAAGUCGGGUAGUCCCAGAGUUAGUGCAUAGACCUCUGGGCACAGUGCUUGGAGCUAGGAGGCUAAGGCUGACCUGGAGCUGUCUGUAUCACCCGGUCAGUCUCCUAAUCUGGGACAACUGUAGGCGGAGAUGCAGAGAGGCCCAGCUCCUGAAGCCACUCAACACCCACACAGCCACCAGUGAACCCCUCCUCAGUCCCCUGGUGCUCAGGCAGCUGGAUGUGACCGUGAAUAAGGACCAUUGAUUAGUCUGUCAGGACACUACCAGAACAUCCUAGCCAGCGUGGGAGAGGAGCAGCCCUGCUGUCCCCAGAGCCCAGGGGAGCCCAGCAGAUCACAGACAUGGCCAUUGCCAGGGGAGAUGAGUCGAAAGAAGUUCAGGGAGUAGGUUGGUCACAGGCUCCCAUCAACAUCAGGGUGUAACUGGAAUUGAUGACAGACCCUCGAAAUCAAUAUUUAAAUCUGUUCCUCUGUGGCUGUGCGGCCUCAGGGACGUUACCUCCCAUCUCUGAUCCUGUAAGGUGAGGCUACAAACAUUGACGUCUCAGGGUCAUGUAGGACCUCACAGAUUGAGGGGCGGUGGAGAACAGAGGUGAGCUAACACCAGCUGUCAUCCUUCUGGGUGCUUAAUGAAGUCAUGGUUGUCACGGACCAAUCCUUUGUCCCCAGGGUCCACCCUGAACCUUUAGCCCUGGUCCCUUUGAAUAAGCUGUAACUUCUUGUCAAGCUGGCUGAGUCCCCUCUCCAACCUUUGAUAGCGCUUGCCAGUGUUAUGACCAAGCUGACUGGCACCUUCCCCGGUCCCUGGAGCCGGAACAGGGGUGGCACGAGAGGGUCCACUCUAGCUCUGUCCUUGGGCUUCUUAACUUCCUGGGGAGGCCUGAGCAGUAGGAAGAACCUGUGGGAAGACGACUAGGUCAGCUCUGUGAAGUCUUCUAUUUUUACCCUCUUCCAGCCUGCCAUGCAUGGGUGCUUAAAGCCUCAGACCUAGGCUGGGCGUCAAGCGGUUUCCCUCAGACUCGGAGCCUUUGGCCUACAGAAUCAUGGCGGCUGCAGGUCUGCAACUUUCUGCUUCCCCGGACCCCCGGCUGUGCUGGGUGGCCCACACCCAUCUGCUGAGGAGGACGAGGUGGGGAAAAGCCUUAGAGGUCAGUGUCUCGAAGCCAGCCUGGGCAGUACAAUGAGAUUCCUUCUGUCUCAAAUAUAUAAGUGACUGAAUAAGAUGUAAAAUGGCCAACUGCUGGGAGGGCCAAGGGAAAGGAGCCUCUGAAGGUCUUUUGGCAGAGGACCCAAGGCAUGGAUGACAGCAAGGUUAGCAAGAAGGACAGGCCCUGCAGAUCCACACAGGAUCCAGUCUCCGGAAAGAAAUUGUUAUCAGGCAGAGGCUGCUGUGGGGAGCCUGACCCGGAAGCCUUGGGUUCUUUUCAGGAAGGUCAAGAGGAGCCAUCUGGCAUCCUCGGCCUAGAAGCUCAGAACUCGGAAACUCUCAGAGUCUCUUCCAACACAACUGGUGCAAAGAACCACCCUCCUUGCCAACCCCACUAGAAAACAGGUGCCAGAAGGUCUCGCCUGUCCUUCCAGUGUCCAUGGUGCCAUUUCUCUGCAGAGCCUCCCAUGGCAAGGCACGAGGACUCACAACAUUGUUCCAGCCCACUUCAGACCUGAGAUACCCACAGAUGCCUACCUUAGCAACACGAUUAACCUCCAGGAUUCUUAUGGGUUGAAUAGUGCUCACCCACUGACUGAUGUGUGCUCAGAAUCCCAGGAAGGAGGAGAGAGAUCUUCAUGGGUAUCCUUCAGUACGGUGGAGGCCACCUAGGAUUUAGGGUGAGCACCGACUUUAACCACCGGUGUCCUUGUGAAUAAGAACAGGACACAGACCCAGAGGAAGAGUGCCACACCUGGACAAGGCAGAAACGAGAGUGGUCAAAAGUCAAGGAACACCGGGGAUGUUGCAGCUCUCAAUCUGGCAAACCUCCUUGUUGGCUUGGAACAGUUCUGGAAAAGGAAGCCUCUAAGACAGCAGGAACAAAUGCCUCACAGCACGGGCAAGUUGGAGAUCAAGAGAAAUGGCGUCAUCAUCACCACCACCACCAUCAUCACCAUCAUCAUCAUCAAUACCAUCAGUGCCGGAGGACAUCUUUGGAAGUCGGUUCUCCUCGUCCAUCCACCGUUGGACCCAGGAACUGAAUUUAGGUCUUCAGGCGAGCACAGCAAGCACAAGCACUCUCACCUGCUGAGUCAUCCCUCUGACCCCUUUAUUCUUCUGUGCUGAUGCAAGAGAUGAAAACCCAAGGCCUCAGAUGUGCUCCGUGCUCUGCCCUGGGCUCCAGCACCAGAGUGCACGAACUUUUGCAAUACCAAGGAAAUUAAACCCAGCGUACACACCAUUCAGACAUACGCACGCACGUAUACACGCAUGCCACACUUGCUCCGCCCAUUUACACUCGUACAAAUCCACGUGACUAAAUUUGCAUCGUGGCUGCUUGAAUCCAGACGGCAUGGAAACACACACGUCAUGCGAUCACACACAUGCUUGGAUGCUCGUGUGUUGUGUGUUGUAUCUAUACGCCUAGGUGUGCAUCACACAGAGAGAUGCGUUCAGGGCCCAUUCCAGCAGAAGACUUCGGAACAGAGAACAGACGGACGGGCUGGUGAUGACAUCAGCCUGUAUCUGCCUUGGAAAGGGUUGGGGGUAUCUGCUGUGGUGUGUUCUUGGCCUCUUGACAUUUACCUUGUGGGACCCUGGCCCCUGCACCCCUGCCUGCCACACCUUAUUCCCCUGGCCCCUGCACAGAAGGGCUGUCCCAUAUGGCAGGGAACAGGGGUGACCCUGUUGCCCUGUGAGAAUGCCUCGGGAAUCCCACACAGAUCUCUUUCUGCCUGAUGUCUCCUUGGGGCACUAGGGAUGAACAGCUUUUGACAUGUUGAGCGGGAAAUUGCUUUUCCCCUCCUGCUUCUGAGACUCGCUCUUAAGACUUUAAUUGCAGAAGAAGGCUCUGGGGUUGGAGACUGUGCAGGUGUGAGUGAUGUCAGCUUUCGGAGCCUGGCAGGGCUGAGCCAGGGAGAGGGCUGUGCGGGGAGGGAUGGGGGAGUAGGGGGUGGCACCUUCGGAGCCAGAAUCAGCCCUGUCAUUUAAAUCCUCUGUGCUCCCCGCCUCCAGACCUCAGGCUUCUCUGAGGUAUCACACAGUGCCCAUUAGGGGCCUUCCUCAUCAUGAACACCUACCUCCCUCUUACCUUGAAGGAGCCCUCACUGUGAGCGGGUGCUAGGUUUGGUUCUGCAGUCUUGUCCCCAGGUCCUGCCUGUACUGGGCACUGUGGGCACUGGCGGUAGGAAGCCAGAGACUCUGUCCUUCCUCAGGGUAAAUAGGAGUCGUUCAGACCUGGUGAGUGGGUAUCUUGGCAAGGGGAACCCAGGUAAGACCCCACUGGCACUCACGGUAAAUAGAGGGGCCCAUCAGAAGCCCAGCCUGAGACUCCCUUCCCCAACCAGGCCUCAGGCAAGGUACUCUCCUGCCUAUGGCAUCUGUAAGUCAGAGAGAUCCCUUCACUCACCAGAUGCUUCAUUUGAUCAUUUGUCCUGACUCAGGGAUACUCCUUUCCCUUAUGCAGCAAGGACUCACAGAAGUAAGUCCUCAUGGGCCCAGAUAAAGCCAUUUUGACGGACACUCAGGCAGCGUUGCAAGGACCUACACUGUGGCGGUAAACGGGGCCUAUGCACUGAGCCAUAAGGCGGCUGCUGUCGGAGGGAGGGGUCAAAGGGGACCGGAGUCUUCUAAUAGAGCUGGCUAAAUGAGCCAAGUGUGAUGACAAAAAUGCAUCCAUCACUCUUAGAAGGGAGGGCGCUUCCACAUGCGUGAGAAGAGCCGUGCUGCUGAGGAGGGGAGUCACAGCUGGGAGGGAGCAGGCAGGGACUCAGAGCUCCACAGGCAGGCUUCAGCAAGCAGCCGCAAGCCCUCCCGCAGUGAGUGGAAACAGAAGCUCACCUCAGAAUCACCAAGAGAAGCAAAAGGAAACGAUGGAGUGGGUUUGAUAGCACCACCCUCAUUGUCAGGGAGCAGAGGUGGCAGGGGCCAGAACCAGUGACCCCAGGAUCAUAGGGAACAGGCCCAGCCUUGGCAGAGCCUCAGGAACCAGUAAGCACGCACACAUCACACACUCAAUGUUCUGAAAUCAGAGAAGUGCAAGGCUGACAGAAUAUUGGGGGAGACAACAAGGCUGCACUGUGUGUGAAGGGGCCUGCUGCCAAGCUCCUGAUAACCCGAGUUCAAUCCCAGGAACUGACACAGAGGAAGGGAGAAUUGACCCACAAAAGCUGUCCUCUGACUUACACACACACACACACACACACACACACACACACAUAUAUAUAUAUAUACAGUCACAUGGACACACAGAGACACACACAUACACAUAUAUACACAGACACACAUAUACACAUACACAUAUAUAUACAGGCACACACACAGACAUACAGAGAUGCACACACACACAGAUACGUAUACAUACAUAUAGACACAGAGACACAAACACAUACACACACAGAGACACAUAUAUACAGACAUACAGACACACACAGAUACACAUAGACACAUAUAUACACAGACACACAAACACAGAGACACACACACAUAUAUAUACACAGACACGUAUAUACACAGACACACAAGCACACACAUAGACACACAAACGGACACACACGCACACGAAAAUGACAAAGGCCGAAAAACAUGAACUUUGCAAAGCCUCACCCACUUCACUCCAGACAGCAAAAUGUCAGCACAAGCAGUUGCCGUCAUUUUCUGUAAUAUCCAGGGCUGGUUGUGUGGCUCAGUGAUAAUGAACUUGCCCAGCAGGGGAAAACAUUCUGGGUUCUAGCCCCAGCACCAAAGGAGAAAAGACAGGAGACUCAGAAGAGCCAUGGAAGGGACACAAUGAAACGUUCAAGGUCGUCCUGAGGACAUGAAGACCGGCUGGGGUGGGGACUCAGGUGCUGGAGGGUUAACCCAGCUCUGCCUAGCCAGCAGGAAGUCCCGGGAAACAGCUCCAGCACGGUGUUAACCGGGCACAGUGUUCCAUGCCUGUAAUCCCAGCAGGGGGAGGUGAAGGCAGGAGGACCAGACAUUCAAAGUCAUCCAAGUUCGAGGUCAGCCUGGGACACGUGAGAAACUGUCCAGAAAGGAAGGAGGGACAGAAGGAGGGAUGAAGGAGGGAGGGAUGGAAAGAACAAGCCCGGGUAGAAAACAGUCUGAGUGGCUCACGCCUGUGACUCCCUCACUUGAGAGGUUGAGGCAGAAGGCUCCCCACCGCUCUGAGUCCAGCAUGGGCUACAUAGCUAGCUCUAGGCUAUUCUGGCUUCAGAGUGUGGCCAUGUCUCUCAAAAAUAAAAAUAAAAAAUAAAUCUGUGGAUAUGUAAUCCCAGUGACAAUGAGGCUGGAGACAGGCUGUCCCCGGGGCUCACUGUCCAGCUAGCCUAGUCUACUUGGCGAAGUUCCAAGUCAAUGAGAGCCCCAUCCCAAACAAAAAUUACAGGUCUGUCCUCAGACCUCCAACAUGCAUGUACAUGCGUGUCCACAUGUACACCCACGCAUACAAAAUGAAAAUGAGUAAGAUGAUUUACUUUUUCCAAGGAAGAGAGAAGAGAAAAGCCAAGAUAGAAACUUUAGAAACCUAUAGAUUUUUAUUUUAUCAUCAUUUUUGUGUAUGUAUACAAAGUUUUGCCUCUCUGUGUCUGUGUACCAUGUACAAAAAGAGGAGUUUAGGUACCCCAGAACUGGAGUAACAGAUGGCUGUGAGCCACCAUGCUGGGAUUUGAACUCAGGACCUCUGGAAGGCAGUGCAUGUUCUUAACCGCUGAGCCAUCUCUCUGUUCCUUUGUGGGGCAAGGGGAGAAAGAAGGACAAAAGGAAAGGAAGAAAAAGUCAUCUCUAGGGGGUGCUGUAUUGUAGUUACAAGAGAAUAUAUAUAUAUAUAUAUAUAUAUAAAAGGAUUUAUUUAUUUCGUGUAUGUGAGUACAUUGUCGCUGUCUUCAGACACACCAGAAGAGGACAUCGGAUCUCAUUACAGAUGGUUGUGAGCCACCACGUGGUUGCUGGGAUUUGAACUCAGGACCUCCGGAAGAGCAGUCAGUACUCUUAACUGUUGAGCCAUCUCUCCAGCCCCCUAUACCUUUUUUUAAAAGUAGACUCUAAAUUCUAUUUUAAGAAGCCACAUUUUAAAGAUUUGUUUUUAUUAUUUUUUAAUUUAUAUGUAUGUGCGCCUGUGUGCGUAUGUCACAUGUGAACAGCGCCAAAAGGGAGUGUUGGAUCCCUGGAGUUGGAGUUUACAGGUGGAUGUGAGUGGCCAGCGUGGGUGCUGGGGACUAAAUGUGGGUCCUCUGGAAGAGCAGGAAGUGCUUUCACCGCAGAGCCCUCUCUCCAGCCCUCUGUGUCAUGCCUUAUUACAUACAGCUAUCUAAACCAAAAAGACCAAACUUUAAAGUUACAUAUGUACAUGAGUGUGUGGAGGUGAGAAAACAGCUUCGGGGGGAGGGUUGCUUUCUUGAUUCACAGUGUGGGUCCCAGGGAGUGAACUCGGGUUGUCAAGCUUGGUGGCAAGCUCCCUUUCACCCAGUGAGCCAUCUUGCCAGUCCAACACUGAAUGUUUUUGGAGACAGGGUCUCAUGAAGCCCAGGUUGACCCUGAGCACAGUUUGUAGUCAAGGAUGACUUUGAACACCUCCUCCUCCCGCCUCCCUCUCUCCACAGGUGCGAGCCACCACACCUGGCUCUGUUUGUUUGGCUUAAUUUUUUAGUCAGGGCAUCACUAUGCAGUCCUGGCUGGCCUGGGACUUGCUAUAUAGACUAGGCUGGCCUGGGGCUUGCGAUUCGUUGCAGACGAGGCUAGCCUCAUAUUUGAGGUUAUCUUCAUGCUUCUGAAUCCUGGGGAGGGGGGGUGCUCAUUUAUUUUCUUUAAUAAAAAAGUGAGGACUGAAGAACUAGCUCAGCCAUUCAGAGCAUUGGCUGCUCUUCCUGAGGCUCUAGAUUUCAGAAGAACACCCCAUGGAGGCUCACAAGCACCUAUAACUCCAGUUCAGGGGAUCCAAUACCCUCUUCUGGCCCAUGGGCCAAGGCACACACUACAAUGCAUACACCCAAGCAAAAUGCCCAUGCACAUAAAGUAAGGAUUUAAAGACAAAGAUUUAAAAAUUAAUAAUAAACAUGGACCUACUGGCACCUUGAAAACUGCAACUGCCUGACUUUACUUUGUCUGUCCAUUUGUUCCUAGCUGCCAGCACCCACAUGAGGGACAAAGGUCCCUUCUGACUCCUUUGUUCCUUAUCCAUCCACCCUCUGUGGCCUACAGCAUGUCACUAAAGUCAAAACCACACUUCCCCCCCCCCUGGAUUCUUCACAAAAGGAAGCCUAUGACGAGAUGGUCCCUGCACCAGCAAAAGCCUCUCUAGGAAGUGGUUCCAGGAGCCAGGCAGGAAGCCAUCAGCAGCCAGCAGCCGAGAUGAAUCACCAACAAACGGGGUUACCAUUGCUAUGGCAACAGGUGACUGCGAUGUGACCGCAGGGGUCCUUCUGAGCCUGUGAGUGUGGCACAAGCCCUUGAGAAGACAGCUUGAAAGCCAGACUUUGAAUGCCAGGGAGAGGCUCGUGCUCUUCCCUGACUGAGCCCCAUCAGCCUCAGCCUCUGGAACAUGCAUUUCCCGUGGCCACAAUCGAGCAGCUCUCAGGUGGGAUUCCAGUAGGAUCAGACUUGAAGCGCACAACCGGAGUUUUCCCCCAACCCCCAAAUCACCCAGAAACGACCCACUCCAGACUGCCAUGGGCCUGGUCUCCUGGGCUCUUGAAAAUGUCAGGAACACUGUUAAGGUUUGGUCUCUCGCUGUGUAUUGUAAUGCCAAAUAGUGGCCCCCAAGGCACAGACCUAAAUGAUACUAUGUAACCUUGGCUCCCAAGUUCUCCCUGAUUGGUGAAUAAAGAUGCUGAUAGUCUAUCGCUGGGCAGAAGAGAGAUACAUAAGGUUUCCCAUCAGGUCUUGGGGUCAAGGAGAAAAGAGAGAGAGAAGGUGUAGAGAGAAGACACAUGGGUGAGUCAUGAAAACAUGGCCAGGAGGGCUGGCCAGUUAGAGUCAAGAGCGGCCCAGAUGAAACAUGGUAAGUUAUAACUCAGGGUUAUUGAUAAGGAAGUAGAUACUAAGAGCUUAGCGGGUUGAUAUCUGCCCAGCUCUAGUGAUCUAAGGCUUAUU